AUACUUAACUGGCAGGGGAGAUACCAUGAUCAUGAAGGUGGUUUCCCCAGGGUGAGGUUCAUCCACUGAACUCCAGAUUUGCUGACCCCUGUGAUCUCCCCAAAUGUGGAAAACUCAACUGCAUAAUUUGUGGUAGUAGGCAACUGCAUUCAUGUUUUCCCCUG